rnacentral:lncRNA from 1 species
CCCACACAUGAUAAAUAGAAGUACAUGAAUAUAUUUCAUAAUCAUGUCCACAUCAUUAGGUUCAAAUAAAAAACACGAAAUUUUGAGCUACCCACUCGUAUUGAAAAAAGUCAAAAACAAAAACAGAGAUAAAGAUCCCAACUUCACAAAAGCUGCCAUAGAUAUGAUCCUAACUGCUCAAACUAUAAAGGUCGUACCCAGUGCACAAGGCUCCCGCUUUACGCAGGGUCUGGGAGAGGUGAAUGUCGGCUAGCCUUACCCCCAUUUAUGGAGAGGCUGCUCCCAAGUCUCGAACCCGAGACCUAAACAAUGAAAUUCAUGGAACAGGAAAUGUUUUUGGAUACACAAUGAAGCACGAUGUCCAGCUGUAAUUAUUUCAAGAGAGCUUCUAGCGAUAACCCAAAUUGCAAAAAACUAAAAAUAAAAGUUUCAUGAAUUUUAUAAUGAAAAGAAAAAUAAGCAAAAACUUUGGACUAAAAGGACUCAUUUUCUUUCAUCUUAUAAAAAUCUUGAACUUUAAAAAUUCAUCCACCUCCUACUAUUAGGAACAACGGCUUUUCUUUUCAAUCUGCCUCACCGCAGUCCCCAGUAAACCAGACCAUGGCGAUACACAUAUAAAGACUACAAUGACGAGAAAUGAAACCACACGGUAGGAUUAGCAGAAGCGUGAUGCCCUAUUACCUAUAUAACUUUUGUUCAGAAAAGGUACAUUUUUGCCAUAUCAAAGAGAGGCUUCUUCACAAAACCCGAGUCUGAAAGUAGUUUAUACUUUAUACACAUGAUAUAUAAAUUUGAUUGCACAACCACUGUACAGUCCCUAGUAUACUUUUUGUUGACAGCAACUUCAGAAAUGAAUAUCAAAAUGAUUCCUAUAACCCAAAAAUGAUCACUAAAACUGUAUCUUCACUGCAUACAUGCAUGAAUAAAUUGAUCCGUAAUUCCGUAUAGUAUUCGGACUAAACUAUGACUGAACUCGAUGCAACACAUUCACACGAUCCAACACAUCAUCAAUAAAUGACCUCAAACACAAAAAUCGAAACACGAAAACAGAAUAUGAACAAUCAAUGCUUACAACAAUUCUGUCAUGACAAUACACAGAUACUACUAGAUCUCCAAUCCCAGACACUCCUCAGCCUACCAGCAAAGCCAGAUCAGGACACAGUUCUACAAACCAAGCCAAUCACAGAUGCCAAAAUUCCCACGGCAAAAAUCACUAAAACUCGAAAUCCCCAACAGAAAUACCAAAAAACUCACCAAUUCAUUGACUUUACAUACAAAUCAAAGAAAAACAAACAAACCCAUCUGAGGAAAUGAUCAACAAAAACAACCCAGAUUUAAA